AGUAUGUGGUUUAAUUCGAUGCAACGCGAAGACUUACCUGGUCUUGACAUCCCGGAGACCCUUAGGAAACUAGGGGUGCUUCCAUCUGGAAGAAUCUGGAGACAGGUGCUGCAUGGCUGUCGUCAGCUCGUGUCGUGAGAUGUUGGGUUAAGUCCCGCAACGAGCGCAACCCUUGCCUUUAGUUGCCAGCAGUUCGGCUGGGCACUCUAAAGGGACUGCCGGUGUUAAACCGGAGGAAGGUGGGGAUGACGUCAAGUCCUCAUGGCCUUUAUGACCAGGGCUACACACGUACUACAAUGGCCGAUACAAAGGGCAGCGACACUGCGAGGUGAAGCCAAUCCCGUAAAAUCGGUCUCAGUCCGGAUUGGAGUCUGCAACUCGACUCCAUGAAGUUGGAAUCGCUAGUAAUCGUGGAUCAGCAUGCCACGGUGAAUACGUUCCCGGGCCUU
rnacentral:rRNA from 1 species